GAAAUUACGCCUUCAUGAAGCUGGAAUUGCUAGUAAUGGCAGGUCAGCAUACUGCCGUGAAUACGUUCCCGGGCCUUGUACACACCGCCCGUCACACCAUGAGAGUUGGAAAUACCCGAAGCCUGUGAGCUAACAGUAAUGAGGCAGCAGUCGAAGGUAGAGCCAAUGAUUGGGGUGAAGUCGUAACAAGGUAAC
rnacentral:rRNA from 1 species